UGGGGGAAUAUUGGACAAUGGGGGCAACCCUGAUCCAGCAAUGCCGCGUGUGUGAAGAAGGUUUUCGGAUUGUAAAGCACUUUCGGCGGGGACGAUGAUGACGGUACCCGCAGAAGAAGCCCCGGCUAACUUCGCGCCAGCAGCCGCGGUAAUACGAAGGGGGCUAGCGUUGCUCGGAAUGACUGGGCGUAAAGGGCGUGUAGGCGGUUUGUACAGUCAGAUGUGAAAUCCCCGGGCUUAACCUGGGAGCUGCAUUUGAGACGUGCAGACUAGAGUGUGAGAGAGGGUUGUGGAAUUCCCAGUGUAGAGGUGAAAUUCGUAGAUAUUGGGAAGAACACCGGUGGCGAAGGCGGCAACCUGGCUCAUUACUGACGCUGAGGCGCGAAAG
rnacentral:rRNA from 1 species